ensembl:lncRNA
GCUAAGGUACUGCAGGUGCCUGAGGAGUUGGGGCAAUUCCUUUACCAGUACUAGAAGCUGAAAAGAAAAGCCAACUUCAAUAAGCCUUUGAUAACUCCAAAGAAGGAUAAGGAGGACAAUCAGGCCAAAAGAGAGCAGUAUGUUCUGAUCAGAAGACUGCCGUUCUUCAUGCACCUCUUGCAGGAUCUGGAGUGGGGAACACCAUCAUGCGUGCAAUGCCUCUUGUAUAUAACCUCAUUAAAGGAACUCAUCUAACUCAUCUGUACUGAGGAAACUCUCACCUCCCCCAAAGGCAAUGACUCAAGAUACUAAUCAGUGCAAUGAGGAUGUCUGAGGGUUUUUCCAUCCACCACUUCAGCCUGGGCUAUACUUUUCCUUCCUCCACUACUGCAGCCACAAAGGCUGUUCUUGAUUUGCAAAGGAAGACAUCCAGCCACCACUUGUGCUGACUGCCUCAGGUAUAUAUCAAUUUAAACAAAGUGACA